UAGUUUGCUAUUUGGUAAAUAUGUGGCGCACCCAUAAUGCAACGUAGCCGGUUCUAGGUCAACUUACGAGAUUAUUAGAGAAUGAAUAGAGAGGCAAACCGGUAUAAACAAAAUUUGAAAGAAAAUCAGUGAACGGGGAUUUUAUUAUAUAGCGAAAUUUUUUCGAGAUUUUGAUACCCGGAUUAUUGUUGUGUAUUUUUUCGUUUAAUCAUAGUUGUAAAACUGAUAUUCGGUUAAGAAAUUAAUUUGAGUAAUUUGUCAUUGGGUGAGGCGACAACACUGUACUUCUUCUUCAGUUUGCGAAUUUCCGAGGUACUGUGAGUGUUUACAUUAUCGUUUUGUUAAACAAUUCUAAAAUUCUUCUCUAAAACUGCAUUAUCAUUUGACUACAUGAUGAGAUCCUGCUUAGAGACGUUUUCAGAACACGGCAUGGCGGAUUUUAUGUCGGAACUUUAACGCCCGGAGGAAAAAGUGUUCAGUGGCCCGUUUGUGAACCCAAUAUGGCUACAUUUUUCACAUUUCCUUACAAACUUUGUUAAAAGCUGUUAAAAUUUUGACUUUCUACCGGGUCCUCCAGAUAGUGAUGAAAACAAGUGGAAAUGUGCAGCUCAUCUUAAAGCUUAGUAUUCAGUAUUUGAUAGUAGAUGCACGAAUUUAACAUGGAAUGCUGUACCAACUUUAAAUCUGAAGCCAGGUAACUAACAAAUAAGUUUGACUCUUCUAGAUAAUAAAUAGAUAAAUGAAUACAGUUUGUGCGAGCAUACAUACAUUCGAGGCAGAUAAUUAUAAAGUUAAUGAAGGCGGCUUCUAAAUGCCAAGAAAUUGAGGGUGCUGAAUUAUCAGAUACUUUUCUAAAGCCGAGCAAAUCAAUCAUCUUUCCGGAAAAUAUCCGGACAAGGGGAACACUGGUACAUCACAGGAACAAACAUUUGUUGCAAAUAGUCCCGA